CAGCGUGCAAGUUUCCUCGAUGUCUUCCUUCACCGGAAACAAGUGGUGGUCUAUGAAAACUACUAUACAUGAGUCAGAUUGGUAUACAAACUCAUGUGGCACGAGUAGGAUUCGAACCCGGGAUCUUUCGAUCCACAGGCGGGCGUCUUAACCAUUACACCACCACCGCUUAGAAAUAAUACUUACCUAUAAUUUAUUUAUUAUUUUUUGAAUCUAUUUGUUGAAUCAUUGCUGUUGAAUAUUUUUUGUUUGAUGCUAUUUUAGUAUUUUAUAUUGUUUUCAAUAACACAAUGAUAAUUUCAUUUUAUAGAAAACAGUAAGUAUGUCUUCAAGUAUUAUUUUUUAUUCUACAAAUUUUAUUAUUAUAGCUAUCGGCUUGCAGACACAGAUUUGAAACAUCCUGAUUUUAUAUGGUUAUGGAUGAUCUUGGUAUCUUGGCUGUGACACCCAUUAACAUUACUAAUUCUAACUGGUUUCCAUCGAGAUAUAAAUUUAAUGUACUAAAGUAUAUUAAGUACCUACUCGUUUCAAAUUAUAGCCUAACAGGGUGGUUCGCACAGCGUUUCGACCGCUGCGGAUGCGGUCAAGAAUUGAUGGGUCAUCAAAAAUCAUUUCUAAAAUCAAUCAUUCAUAAAAUGUACAUUACUACAUUACAUAGACAUUAAGAUAAAGUCAUUAUUGUCCUUGUUAAAAUUUGAAAAAUUGAAAUGACAGCGCGACCGCAGCCGUCGAAACGGUCUGAGAACCACCAAACAAUAAAAUUUUCCACUUUCCAUGCAUAUUUAGAAGCUUCGAUAUACGGAUAUUGAUGUGUAAUCUACUUAAUUUAUAAUUCAUUUGGUUUCAGUACUAACGGUUAAACGUAUAAAAGUGUCGGGAACAGUGGGGUCUCCAUUCGACCACUCUGUCACGUACUCGUGUGAUUCAUGCGAGGUCACUGACCUUAUCUGCAACGGAGAAAGCAUGUUUGCCAAUAGCAAAGUAUCGCACUUGCCUAGCAGUCAUAGUGUGAUAUUAAAUUUCCCAAAUUUCCAAGACGAGCAUGCGUGUGUAUAUAUCGG